GCUCUGUUGACGGGAUGAUUGUGUGAAGAUGUUCAGAGUUGACCUCGCUAUGUUCUGUUUUGUUGUGUUUUCUAGGUAACGCUUUUAUUUGAUGACUGGGAAUGUCAAACAUGUUGCUCUUGACCUACAGACAACAUCCAGCUCCCAGAUCAGCUCUGUUUGAAGAUGGAGGAUUUGGCUGUGUUCGAGUCCUGGCAGAGUUGUGCAGACUCAGGACAAUGGAGCUUUGGAGGAAUACGCAGAUUUAAAGAGGAGUCCGUAAUUAGCUUUCUAAUGAUCAUGAUCUUUUCCUCAAAGAAGUUCAUUAAUUUAUUAUUGCUGAAGUGAAGGUGUGUUUCUGAGCAGUCCAAGCCUGAAACUUCUGAGAAAGAUGGUGAGGUCACUGGGAGUCAAAAAGGCACGGUGCUGCCAUCAAGUACGUGACUUAGGCAACCUUUGUGAACAUUAAACAAAGAAAGAACUGAGGUUGAGGCAGGGGGAGCAGCAAGUAAGUACAUGUGGUCCUACUUCUCUGGAUUUCUCAGUCUGGCAGGGUUUAGUGGACUAUCAUCAGAUCAGUACAUCAGAAUGAGAUUGGAC
rnacentral:lncRNA from 1 species